GAUUACAGGCAUGAGCCACGGCCCCUGGCCAAUAGAUAUAAUUUUAUAUUAUAGAAUAUUAGAAAUCAUAAUUUAAAGUGAUCUUUAUAAAUUCAUAUGAUCUUGUCGGCAAUUUUGAAAUUGAUCAUUUUAAUAUGUUAAAGUGAUCAUAUUUUGGAUCUCUUAGAUUACAUAAAAUAAAUCAAUAUUAAUUUCAACAGGUUAUUUUUUUUUUUUACUUUUUAAAAUAUGGCUACUAGACACUUUUAACUUAUAUUUGUAGCUCAUAUUCUAUUUCUCCUGGACAGAGAUGAGAUAGAAGCUGUAUGAAGCAGAAGACGCUGGUGCAAGAUGGGAAACUUCCAUGCUUAAAAAUGCUUAAAAAAGAAUAAAAAGUGGAACGAAAGGAGGGAGAGGUUGCCAUAUUUGGCAGAGCCAGGAAAAGCAGAAACUGCCAAAAAUGGCAAAUGCCAUGAAGGCACUGUUGAGGGGCUAGGUGAUGCAGAUAGGUGUUGAGGGGCUAGGUGAUGUGGAUAGGUGUUGGGGGCUAGGUGAUGUGGAUAGGUGGUGGGGAUAGGCGUUGAGGGACUAGGUGAUGCAGAUAGGUGUUGAGGGGAUAGGUGAUGUGGAUAGGUGUUGAGGGGCUAGGUGAUGCAGAUAGGUGUUGAAAGGAUAGGUGAUGUGGAUAGGUGUUGAGGGGAUAUGUGGUGGGGAUAGGUGUUGAGGGGCUAGGUGAUACGGGUAGGUAUUGAGGGGCUAGGUGAUGCGGAUAGGUGUUGAGGGACUAGGUG